UUCGGUCACAUCACGUUGAAACACCGGUUACCAUACGAUCACCGAAGUUAAGCAACGUCGAACCUGGUCAGUACCUAGAUGGGUGAUCGCCUGAAAAAUACCAGGUGCUGUAA